rnacentral:rRNA from 1 species
AACGAACGUUAGCGGCGCGCCUAACACAUGCAAGUCGCACGAGAAAGGGCUUCGGCCCCGGUACAGUGGCGCACGGGUGAGUAACACGUGGGUAAUCUGCCUUCGAGCGGGGGAUAACAUUCCGAAAGGAGUGCUAAUACCGCAUAAGACCACGCCCUCGAAAGAGGAAGCGGUCAAAGCUGGCCUCUAUACAUAAGCUAGCACUCGAAAAUGAGCCCGCGGAGCAUCAGCUAGUUGGUGAGGUAAUGGCUCACCAAGGCUUAGACGCUU